UGGGCAAUUACUUAAUCCUGUUUGCCUUAGUUUCCUCAUCUAUAAAAUGAGACAGAGAAGAAAAGGGCAAGCCACUCUAGUAUCUGUCCAGAAAAUCCCAAAUGGGGUCAUGGAGAGACAGGAAUGACAGAAAAUUACUGAACAAAUAAAUCUUAUGUACAAUAUUUCCUCUGAUCUCUACUAUUUUGACAAACCUGUCAAAAAAGUUUGUCAUGAUCUAUUUUUGAUAAAGCCUUACUGGGCUGUUUUUGAAUACAACUUCUUUUUCUAGGCUCAUUAAGAAUCACUUUAAUAAUAUGUUCUAGAAUUUUGCCAGGAAAUGAAGUAGUUGGGGUACAUGAUUAAAAGGGAAUGCUAACAUGCAUCAAGAAACAAUAAUUAUAGUGUAUACAGAGAAGCAUGGAAACUUAAAUGAAUGGAUAAUCAAUGAACAAAGUCAGGAAAGCAAUAUAUACAAUGACCACAACAAGGUAAAUGGAAAGAAUAGGAACAAAACAAUCAAAAUGAAAUCAUAUGAAAUUGUAAUAACCAAGUCUGUUCUCAAAAAAGAGAUAUUUUAAGGUAUGUUUCUUGCUUCUUUGCAAAGGUCAGAAAUUAUGGCGAUGUAUCCCCCUGCACAUAAGGACAAGAUUGAAAACGGACCACUUGGGGCUGGUGAAGCUGUUGACCUUUGUGUCUGUUUCCUACUGGCACCUCAAAUCACUCUGUUUUUACUUCUGGGAACAAGAGAAGAUCCAGAAACAAAUUAGGGGAAAAAAAAGUCAUUUAAAGGGAUGAAGAACCGAAUAGUCUUCAGAGUUAAAGUGAUAAAUAUCUACAAUAACACAUACAAUUAGUUAACAGUGACUGUCAAAGAAGGAUAAAUAUAACUACAAUAUUAUAUUAGCUAAAUUGCUGAAAGUUAUAAAAGGACAUUCCCAAAAACAAAGAAAAGAAAGGUGAAAGAGGAUGGGGAUACAUGUAUGUGGGGGAAGGUAUCAUAGCCAUCCUAAGAUGAAGCUCCUAUCUUUAACAAAAGAAGAAAAGGAAUCCAAGUUAAUCACAAAGUUAAUAGGAUAAAGUACAAGAAUGCUAUUCAAUGUUUCUUUGUUAAGUUUGGCUUAAGAAUUGAAAUUAUAAAAUAUGACAGUUCAUAUUCUCUUUUGAGAAAGCAACUGUUUAUCAAAGUAUGCUUAAAAUGGAAUUUAACAACUGCAUUAUUAAAUGGAAAUGAUUUAAACUCAAUAAAAGAAAAAAGUGAAUUCAAUAAUGUCAUCUUUUUAUACAAAAAUACUCUAGAUUUCCAUUGAAAGCAUAGGUUAAAUUUUAUUAUACUGCUAUAAGAGACAUUGAUUGGAAGUGCCUUCAAUUGAGUUGAUUUUAAUUAUAGGACAUAAUCUUUUUUCUGUGGUCAAGAAAGUAUCUCUCAGUAGUGUGUGGAGGUAUACCCAGUGAUGCUUGGGGGAAAGGGAUAAAUCCUUACAGGGUUUCUUGGACUAGGGCUUCUUUCAAGAUGAUUGCCUAGCCUAAACUCAGUAGUUUGGCUUUUUGUCAGAGCAUCCACCCCUUUGCUUCAACCUAUGAGAGGGACAGAUUACCCUCAAGCUCUUUUCAUCUACUAUUUUCUUCUUUUUAGAUGAUAUACCAUAGUAUAUUAGAAAAGAUCUCUACUAUGGGAAGGAGAGAAGCCCAUACAUUCAGUUCCCUCCCUCCCACCCUAGAAAUUAGUAAUCGCUUCUUUCUUGAAGCAGAAGGACAGGGUUGCAUGGAUUUGGUAACUGCUUUCUGAGCACAGGUCAGGACUGGAGAUUUGAACUACUACAAAAGCACUUGGCAGUGGCAGCUUUUUGCUUGUCUACACAGCCUGAGAGGAGAAUUAUGGCUA